rnacentral:rRNA from 1 species
AUGCCUUUGCCACAAAAUCUGUUCUUGGGGCUAAAGAUCAGCCAAGGGCCAUGCUUAGCGAUCAUAUAUAAGAACAACUCUUUAAACGGCUCAGUGGAGAGAGACACGAACGGGCUAUUCAUAAUGGGAAAAGUUUUGAUGAGGUUAGUGCUGCCUCAUCAAUUUACAAAAUCUUACGUUUAUGGAUCCUAUGUUUUCUUUUUCUUGGUUAUAUCUUGGUUUCCCUUCCUGAAUAUGAAAUCUGUGGUUUUUGUACUUAUAAACAGAGAUGUGCUGCUCCUUCUGCUUACUUUUUUUUCCAGAAUUUGA